rnacentral:rRNA from 1 species
CGUGAUUUGGGCUAUAUUACGGGGCAAAAAUUAUAUGUUCGGACAUUGUUUUCGAAUAUUUUACAUGUAUCAAAGCUCAUAUAAACAGAUAGGGUACUCCUACAUAGCUGGUGGGACCCACGCCAAAUGGAUCAUAAAGUCCUCAAAAAAAAAUAGAUACGAUUGCAUUGCAUGUAGUAACAGAUGCGAUCAUACCAGCACUAAUGCACCGGAUCCCAUCAGAACUCCGUAGUUAAGCGUACUUGGGCGAGAGUAGUACGAGGAUGGGUGACCUCACGGAAAGUCCUCGUGUUGCAUUCCUCUUUUUUCGGUUUUCCUCUAUUUUGUUUUGUUAAAAAUGUAUGACUCUAUAACUUUAAGACCGUGAGGCCAACCUUGAACAUGUGAUACCUUUUCGGAAAGCCCUAAAGAGAGCUCUCCGAAUGAAAGAGGAAGGAAAAUGGAAUUCUUCUAUUGUUUUU